CAAAAUAGAACUUUACAGUGAAGUAUUUCAUUUACAUUGAGAGUAAUUCUGUGCAAUUCAGGAUAUUUUGA
rnacentral:tRNA from 1 species